GCCGUUGUAGCUCAGUCGGUAGAGCACGUCAUUCGUAAUGACGGGGUCGGGGGUUCGAAUCCCUUCAACGGCACCA
rnacentral:tRNA from 1 species